UCAAGCUCAUAUCAUCUUGCUCAAAGCUCCAACCCACUAAUCAUACACUUUGUCUUUCCGGCAUAGCUAGCCCCCAUCCUGAAACUACUGAGGGGCCCCUGACUCAUUGUAGUAGCAUAAACUGAAGCAUAUUUCUAGGCAUCCACUAUCAAUAACAAAGUCACUCUUAUUACUGGAGAAAUGCAAAAAGUUUAGAAGUUCCAUUCUAGGGAUGCUGAAAAAGAUAUGCAUUUAAUGUUCCAUUUAAGACAGAAACAGAAUGAAGUCUGCCCUGGGAUAUCAUACUUGGGAUUUCUUACUCCAUCAAAAUUAUUCCAAGUCAGCCCGACUAAGAUAAUUUCUGCAACAUGCAGCGGGUCCUGUCAGAGCUCCUUUCCUCCCGUGGUGCCUCUUUGAGUCCAGUUAUUCAUUGCCAUACUGUUCCCUCUUGCUGUUCUGUCCCACUCCGUAUGCCAACAGCAAUUCUUAGGAGAAGCCCUAAAUAUAGACAUGUGUGGUUGGAAAAAGAGGAGACAGAAGGAUGAGAAGAUGACAGAGGAGCUUCCUCCCUAACCACAUCAACCCCGCCUUAAAUCAUUAUAGUCUCAAGUUUAUCUAAUUUUCUGAUUUUUGUAUAAUACUUAAUUCACACAAAGCUUUCAUAAACUUAAAAAUUAAGAAAAAAUAUUACUAUCUAAUUUUUACAACUGUCCUCCCCUACUUUUUUUAAUAACAAAAUCUGUCUUACAUUUCAAGUAACAGCAUCUUGAAAAAAAGAUAACCCCCCACCGCACACCAUCACCACAAACACACACCAUAUUUUUUACCACUCAGGGACAUCUGAAGAUCUCUGAUUUCUUGUUUUUGGAAAUACAAAAAUAUAUUUUUCCUUGUAUUUAUCAUUCUUUGCCCUUCAAACUAAUAUUAGCUUUCAGUUUGAAAAGUCUUUUAAAAAGUACGAUGAUUUUUUUUUCUUUUCAUAGCAAUCUGUGGUUAGGUAAUUACUUCUACAAAAAUAAUAUGAGAAAUUUAAUUUCAUGUGCAGUUUGGCCCAUUAUUAAGUGGGAAUAUCAUUAUUAAAUAUUAUUAAACCAAACCCAUUUAUUUCCUCAAAUCAUAUGUAAUAUAAUCAGAUUUAUAUCUGAUUUAAUAUUCUAGUAUAAAAUAAAAUAUUAAACAUAAAUAU
rnacentral:lncRNA from 1 species